rnacentral:rRNA from 1 species
UACGUAGGGUGCAAGCGUUGUUCGGAAUUAUUGGGCGUAAAGAGCUUGUAGGCGGUUUGUCGCGUCUGCUGUGAAAUUUCGGGGCUCAACCCCGAACUUGCAGUGGGUACGGGCAGACUAGAGUGUGGUAGGGGAGACUGGAAUUCCUGGUGUAGCGGUGAAAUGCGCAGAUAUCAGGAGGAACACCGAUGGCGAAGGCAGGUCUCUGGGCCAUAACUGACGCUGAGAAGCGAAAGCAUGGGGAGCGAACAGG